GGCGCACGGGUGAGUAACACGUAGCUAACCUGCCCUCGAGUGGGGGAUAACCUGGGGAAACUCGGGCUAAUACCGCAUAACAUCCCGGUGGCGGAAGUCGCCGGGAGCAAAGGCCCGCAAGGGUCGCUCGUGGAGGGGGCUGCGGCCGAUUAGCUAGUUGGUGAGGUAACGGCCCACCAAGGCGAUGAUCGGUAGCCGGCCUGAGAGGGCGCACGGCCACACUGGCACUGAAACACGGGCCAGACUCCUACGGGAGGCAGCAGUGGGGAAUUUUGCACAAUGCCCGAAAGGGUGAUGCAGCAACGCCGCGUGAGGGAUGAAGGCCUUCGGGUCGUAAACCUCUUUCGACCGGGAAAAACGGGCCGGUGAAUAACCGGUUCUGAUGGUACCGGUGGAAGAAGCCCCGGCUAACUACGUGCCAGCCGCCGCGG
rnacentral:rRNA from 1 species